rnacentral:rRNA from 1 species
CCUACGGGUGGCUGCAGUGAGGAAUAUUGGUCAAUGGUCGGGAGACUGAACCAGCCAAGCCGCGUGAGGGAUGAAGGUACAGAGUAUCGUAAACCUCUUUUGUCAGGGAACAAAGGCGGGGACGUGUCCCCGGAUGAGUGUACCUGAAGAAAAAGCAUCGGCUAACUCCGUGCCAGCAGCCGCGGUAAUACGGAGGAUGCGAGCGUUAUCCGGAUUUAUUGGGUUUAAAGGGUGCGCAGGCGGUCUGUUAAGUCAGCGGUCAAAGCCCGGGGCUCAACCCCGGCCCGCCGUUGAAACUGGCAGUCUCGAGUUGGAGAGAAGUAUGCGGAAUGCGCGGUGUAGCGGUGAAAUGCAUAGAUAUCGAGAGGAACACUCGUGGCGAAGGCGGGUUCCUGGACAUUAACUGACGCUGAGGCACGAAGGCCAGGGGAGCGAAAGGGAUUAGAUACCCUUGUAGUC